UACGAAGGGGGCUAGCGUUGUUCGGAAUUACUGGGCGUAAAGCGCGCGUAGGCGGUUCGCAAAGUCGGGCGUGAAAGCCCUGGGCUCAACCCAGGAAUUGCGCUCGAAACUAGCGGACUGGAGGCCGGAAGAGGGUAGUGGAAUUCCCAGUGUAGAGGUGAAAUUCGUAGAUAUUGGGAAGAACACCAGUGGCGAAGGCGGCUACCUGGUCCGGAUCUGACGCUGAGGCGCGAAAGCGUGGGGAG
rnacentral:rRNA from 1 species